UGCGUAGGCGGCGUUGUAAGUCAGAUGUGAAAGCCCACCGCUUAACGGUGGAACUGCAUUUGAUACUGCAGUGCUUGAAUCAGGCUGAGGUCAGCGGAAUGUGUCAUGUAGCGGUGAAAUGCAUAGAUAUGACAUAGAACACCAAUUGCGAAGGCAGCUGGCUAGACCUGUAUUGACGCUGAGGCACGAAAGCGUGGGGAGCGAACAGGAUUAGAUACCCUGGUAGUC
rnacentral:rRNA from 1 species